AGAAGAAGAAGAAGACAGGUGGUCUCUUCCACUUCCUGUCUCAGUAUAGGAAGCCAUUUUAACUCUCUUGGCCAAGAGAAGACUCACUGAGGAACCCUAAAAAAGAACUAAGUCGCCCUCAGAUAGACACCAACCGGGAGGCGAAACAGGGGCAGACCAGAAGCAAUGUGGUGAAGAGUGGUUGAUGCUGAGCUGAAGUGAUGGGUCUCUCACUGGACUGGGCCCAAGCUGUGGCUAAAGACAGUCGCCAGUGGCAAAAAGAAGAUUGUUGCAUCCUUCUGUCUCACCUGGGACUAAAAGGAUUAAGUGUGUUUUAUGGCAAGAUGACCCUGGCCAACUGAGGAUAAAUGCAGGGGUGUAAAGUUUAUGUAGGAGGUAAACUGUGAUGACCCACCCGCCUUUCUCUUCCUGGACCACACACCACACAAUAAGGUGGGGUCGAGGAAGGACAAGACUCUCUGCAUGUUUGUUCAGUUUGCUGUCACAUCUCUUGACCCUGAAUUUGCCUAAACAAAUAGCUAAAUUAAACGUUUUGUCACAGAACUGUGUUGCUAUGCAUAUUUUUACGUGUGUAAAGAGAAAUCCUGGAGCUUUCUUUGUGGAUAUAUAGCGUAUACAUGCAUAUCACAAACUACACUACUGGAUGAAUAUGUGAGAAGGUGUGUUUACUGACUGGUGUCACACAGACAAGUUUACAGACAAAAACAUAUAUGACAUAUGGGAACGUUAUAAUUAACAUCAACACCUGCAAAAUUCUUUAGUAAACUUACUUUGUCUUCAGCUGUACCAGUCUGUUUCCUGCCACUGGAGAUUAGAAAAUUGAUCCGUCAUGACUGGCGCUUUGAGGACAAAUUUGACAAGCUGUGCACGUUUUAUCUUUGAGUUUUGUUGGUGUACUUUUGUGAGUGCAUCUGAGAAAGUGAACCUGAAUCCAUGAGUCUUUGUCAUUUUG